GGCAGUGUAACACAGUGGGUAAGGAACUGGUUGUAACCAAAUGUCACAGGUUCGAUUCCUGGUUAGGACACUGCCA
rnacentral:tRNA from 1 species